AUGAAAUCUCUGUUGCUUUUCCUUUCCCUGUUCUCUGCCACCUCCUGUGUUCUCUCCCAGGUGCAGCUGGUCCAGUCCGGCCCAGGCACGGUGAAGCCCGGAGAGACCCUCACACUGACCUGCGCUGUCUCUGGCUUCUCAGUUAGUAGCAGCGGCUAUGAUUGGCACUGGAUCCGGCAGCCCCCCGGGAAAGGGCUGGAGUGGAUGGGACGGGUAUAUCCGUAUAGUAGCAGUGCCACAAACUACGCCCCGUCUCUCCAAGGCCGAAUCACCAUCUCUGCAGACACCGCCAAGAACCAGUUCUCCCUGCAGCUCCGCUCGCUGACAGCUGCAGACACCGGCACCUAUUACUGCGCCCGGAGAGACACAGUGACCCAGAGCAAAGCAGCGAGCAUGGCUACGCUGGAAACUUCAAAGCGCUGUCGCGGGAACGCUCCCAGCAGCGCUUUGAAGUACGAGAGCUCUCCCGGCACUCCUGGUAAUCCACCUCUAUGA